ensembl:lncRNA
GAAUGAUAUCUCCUUUUCUCCCCUGGUCUCACCAGUCAUUGAGUCCCUCCUCACCUUUGGAAGGAAGCCCAAAGUUGACCAGAGUGUACUCUAUCAUGGAGCUAAACUCAGUGAGAAGAGGAAGUGCCUACUUUGCAGGGAUGGUGUAUUAAAAGUGUUUGUCUACAAGAUGACUUUUCUUAUUUCCUUGGAAGCUCUGACUUUCUGACCAUACCCACUUGAAAUGUUUCUGGAGAAUCUGUUCUCAGGUGUGACUUUGAUUAGGAGAAAGGAAAUAAAUCAAAAGAUCAAUCUUCUGUUGUGGAAGAAUCCAGUACUUGCAGACACAUCUGCCAUAUUUAGAAUAAGUCUGCACCAGCAAAGACUUUGCCUGCUUUUUGGAUGCUGUUUAAGAGUCAAUUGGAGCCUGACAGAAAGCUCAUGAACAUCUCAACAGGUCUCCAAGAAUGGUCUGACCAUGAAAAUAAACCUGUAGCAACUGAGAGUACAACUGUAAAACUGCAAAAGCUGAAGACAAGCAAGUCGUCUGGUCCUGACCUGCAGCACCUGCAUCCUUGCAGAGCAGGUCACUGUAUUCACAGACUGUGGGCAUAAUACUUGAGAGCCCAUUUUUCUUCCUGAGGCAUUUUACUGUAGCUAUGUGAAGUCAGCAGUAGUUUUGUCUGCCAGUCCUAUGCAGGAGGUAGGAAGAUGUCUACAGAGGUGCAGGGAAGCAGCUGAACCCAGGGUAAGUGUUGGAUCUAUGCCCUGAGGCUAACAAGGACUAACUGUCAAUAGCAGCUGUCUGUAAGAAGCUGAGCAAGGUUACAAAAAGGUAGCAUGUGAACUGUAAGUUCAGCAAAGUGUUGACUCCAUAUAGCUGGAAAGAAUCCAAACCAGACAGUGUUUCUCUGUGAAGUUGGCUUGUUUGUGAUGUUUGAUAAGCCAUCAGUGAAAGUAAUGAAUUAGAAAUUAUCUGCUAUAAAAGAGAUUGAACAAUAUCAAGUCAUCCUACAAGUGUCCUAUGAUUUGUAAUAGACUCCCCAGCUUGACCGCAAGAGCCAGAUUUCUCUACCUUCUGAAUGCACUGUGAAUCUCCUUUAGGAGAUUAGGAGGAGGAUUUACAUACUUGGAAGGUGCUUGUGUUUGUAUUCUGUGGGUGGAGCUCUCUGACAUCUGAAUACUUGUUACUGGGGAGUCUUUGCUUAAGUACUCGCUGAACAGCAGACAGUGUGGAUGCAUCAAGACAAGGACCAUCCCAGUGACUUCAGUGUAAAUAUAAUGCUUUGUAGGAUCAAAGACCAAAUGUUUUAACCCAUUUAUUAUGGAAGAAUCACAGAAUGGCUGAGGUUGGAAGGGACCUCUGGAGAUCAUCUAGUCCAACCUGCCUUGCAGGAUUACCUAGAGCAUGUUUGCCCAGGAUCCUGUCCAGACGGCUUUUGAAUAUCUCCAGGGAUGGAGGCUCUAUGACUUCUCUGGGCAACCUGUUCCAAAGGGGGAAGGAGUAGGAAGAGGAGUGAAGAUAGGGAAGAUUGGUAGCAACAACAAAUUUAAGGUGUUAGGGCAAAUGCUGCCUUUGCUUUAAGAAGCUCUCACAACUUCUCAGUUUGUGACAGGUCUUUGAUGUUCAGCAGGGGAGAAGCAUUGGGCUUCAGAAGUUUCUUCUGCCUCAUCCAAAAUCAUCACUUAUGGAAAUAAAAGCUGUUAAUUUCUGUUUCCUUUCUCUCA